UUCAUGGUUUCUGCUGUAAGCUCUGUGUC
rnacentral:piRNA from 1 species